rnacentral:rRNA from 1 species
UGGGGGAUAUUGCACAAUGGGCGAAAGCCUGAUGCAGCGACGCCGCGUGGGGGAUGAAGGCCUUCGGGUUGUAAACUUCUUUUGCUCUGAACAAGGCAUGCCUUUGGGGUGUGUUGAGUGUAGGGGUUGAUUAGCGCCGGCUAACUACGUGCCAGCAGCCGCGGUAAUACGUAGGGCGCGAGCGUUGUCCGGAAUUAUUGGGCGUAAAGGGCUUGUAGGUGGCUGGUUGCGUCUGUCGUGAAAGCUCAUGGCUUAACUGUGGGUUUGCGGUGGGUACGGGCUGGCUUGAGUGCAGUAGGGGAGGCUGGAAUUCCUGGUGUAGCGGUGGAAUGCGCAGAUAUCAGGAGGAAUACCGGUGGCGAAGGCGGGUCUCUGGGCUGUUACUGACGCCGAGGAGCGAAAGCGUGGGGAGCGAACAGG